rnacentral:rRNA from 1 species
UACGGGGGGAGCAAGCGUUGUUCGGAUUUACUGGGCGUAAAGGGCGCGUAGGCGGCACUGCAAGUCAGUUGUGAAAUCUCCGGGCUUAAUCCGGAAAGGUCAACUGAUACUGCAGGGCUAGAGUGCAGAAGGGGCAACUGGAAUUCUCGGUGUAGCGGUGAAAUGCGUAGAUAUCGAGAGGAACACCUGCGGCGAAGGCGGGUUGCUGGGCUGACACUGACGCUGAGGCGCGAAAGCCAGGGGAGCGAACGGG